rnacentral:tRNA from 1 species
GGAAGGGCCACCCGAUGGGCGACGGGACCCGCUUGGAAGGCGGGCGAGCGAUGAGCCUUGGGGGUUCGACUCCCCCUCCUUCCG